rnacentral:rRNA from 1 species
GACGAACGCUGGCGGCGUGCUUAACACAUGCAAGUCGAACGGAAAGGCCCUGCUUUUGUGGGGUGCUCGAGUGGCGAACGGGUGAGUAUCACGUGAGUAUCCUGCCCUUGACUUUGGGAUAACUUCAGGAAACUGGGGCUAAUACCGGAUAGGAGCUCCUGCUGCAUGGUGGGGAUUGGAAAGUUUCGGUGGUUGGGGAUGGACUCGCGGCUUAUCAGCUUGUUGGUGGGGUAGUGGCUUACCAAGGCUUUGACGGGUAGCCGGCCUGGGAGGGUGACCGGGCACAUUGGGCCUGCGGGACGGCCCAGACUGCAACGGGAGGCAGCAGUGGGGAAUAUUGCGCAGUGAGCGGAAGCCUGAUGCAGAAGCGCCGCGUGCGUGAAGACGGCCUUCGGGGUGUAAACCGCUGUCGCAUGUGACGAAGCGUGAGUGACGGUAAUGAGUCAAGAAGCAACGGCUAACUACGUG